GUAGACUUGAUUUCUAAUAGAUAUGUGAAUUUUGAGAGAUAUUUAAUAUAUGAAUUAAGAGAUUUUGGCUUGGAAAGAUUGGCAUCAAGAUUGGAGAAGGAAGAUGGCCAAUACUUGAGUGGAUUUUAGGAUUUAUCUUCUAUUUGGUAAGUUCGAUCUUUUUAAAAAUAUUUAUGCUUAUUGCCAACUUAAUUGUUGAGAUGUUUGCAAAUUUUGAGUUGAAAUAAUUAGUUUGAUUAUUAGUUAUGGAAGUUUCAAUCUGCCAUAGGAUUUAUUAAGAAUUUGUUUAUGAUUUAGAAUUGAUUUAGGAUUUAUGGUUUAGGAUUUUGAUUAGGAUUUGUUUAGAAUUUGUCUAAGAUUUGAUUAUGAUUUAUUUAAGAUUUGUUUGGAAUUUGAUUAGAAUUUAUUUAGGAUUUGAGUAGGAUUUGACUAAAAUUUGUUUAGAAUUGGAUCAGAAUUUGAUUAGGAUUUGUUUAGGAUUUGUUUAGGAUUUGAUUAGUAUUUAUUUAGAAUUUUUUUAGGAUUUAAUUAAGAUUCAAUUAGGAUUCAAUCAUGAUUUUUUUAGGAUUUUUUUUAUAU
rnacentral:lncRNA from 1 species